rnacentral:rRNA from 1 species
UACGUAGGGUGCAAGCGUUGUCCGGAAUCAUUGGGCGUAAAGCGCGCGUAGGCGGCCUCGUAAGUCCGCUGUGAAAGUCGAAGGCUCAACCUUUGAAAGCCGGUGGAUACUGUGAGGCUAGAGUACGGAAGAGGCGAGUGGAAUUCCUGGUGUAGCGGUGGAAUGCGCAGAUAUCAGGAGGAACACCGAUGGCGAAGGCAGCUCGCUGGGACGUUACUGACACUGAGGUGCGAAAGCGUGGGGAGCAAACAGG